GAUGAACGCUAGCGAUAGGCUUAACACAUGCAAGUCGAGGGGCAGCAUGGUCUUAGCCUGCUAAGACUGAUGGCGACCGGCGCACGGGUGCGUAACGCGUAUGCAACUUGCCUCACAGAGGGGGAUAACCCGUCGAAAGACGGACUAAUACCGCGUACACUUGGGAUAGGGCAUCCUGACCCAAGGAAAUGAAAUUCGCUGUGAGAUAGGCAUGCGUCCCAUUAGCUAGUUGGUGAGGUAACGGCUCACCAAGGCGACGAUGGGUAGGGGAACUGAGAGGUUGAACCCCCACACUGGUACUGAGACACGGACCAGACUCCUACGGGAGGCAGCAGUGAGGAAUAUUGGUCAAUGGGCGAGAGCCUGAUCCAGCCAAGUCGCGUGAAGGAUGACUGUCUUAUGGAUUGUAAACUUCUUUUAUACGGGAAUAACAAGAGCCACGUGUGGCUCCCUGCAUGUACCGUAUGAAUAAGCAUCGGCUAACUCCGUG
rnacentral:rRNA from 1 species